rnacentral:rRNA from 1 species
GGAUUAGCUGAGAGGUGGUGCAUGGCCGUCGUCAGUUCGUACUGUGAAGCAUCCUGUUAAGUCAGGCAACGAGCGAGACCCACGCCCACAGUUGCCAGCGUACUCUCUGGAGUGACGGGUACACUGUGGGGACCGCCGCUGCUAAAGCGGAGGAAGGAGUGGGCAACGGUAGGUCAGUAUGCCCCGAAUAUCCCGGGCUACACGCGAGCUACAAUGGUUGGUACAAUGGGUAUCUACCCCGAAAGGGGACGGGAAUCUCCUAAAACCAAUCUUAGUUCGGAUUGAGGGCUGCAACUCGCCCUCAUGAAGCUGGAAUCCGUAGUAAUCGCGUUUCAACAGAACGCGGUGAAUACGUCCCUGCUCCUU